UACGGAGGGUGCAAGCGUUGCUCGGAAUUAUUGGGCGUAAAGGGUAGGUAGGUGGUCUCAUUUGUCUGGGGUGAAAUCCUUGGGCUUAACCCAAGAAGUGCCCCAGAAACGGUGAGACUAGAGUCCUGGAGAGGGUCGUGGAAUUCCCGGUGUAGCGGUGAAAUGCGUAGAGAUCGGGAGGAACACCAGAGGCGAAGGCGGCGACCUGGACAGGUACUGACACUCAACUACGAAAGCGUGGGGAGCAAACAGG
rnacentral:rRNA from 1 species